rnacentral:rRNA from 1 species
CAGUCGCCGCGGUAAUACGAAGGGUGCAAGCGUUACUCGGAAUUACUGGGCGUAAAGCGUGCGUAGGUGGUGGUUUAAGUCCGUUGUGAAAGCCCUGGGCUCAACCUGGGAAUUGCAGUGGAUACUGGGUCACUAGAGUGUGGUAGAGGAUAGUGGAAUUUCCGGUGUAGCAGUGAAAUGCGUAGAGAUCGGAAGGAACAUCUGUGGCGAAGGCGACUAUCUGGGCCAACACUGACACUGAGGCACGAAAGCGUGGGGAGCAAACAGGAUUAGAUACCCCAGUAGUCCCUGUCUAUUAUAC